rnacentral:lncRNA from 10 species
GCAGCCUCAACUGGCUCACUGCCUUCUUUAUCCCAGCCUCCAUUGCAGUGAGGUUGGGGGCCAUAUGACUAGUGCUGCCCAAUGGACUGUGAACAGAAAUGACAGCAUCACUCGCAUGGAGACUCCUCCAUCUCUGUCUUCCCUGUUGUGACAGUCUCAGAGCCUACGUUCUUUCAAUGGCUGGGCUACAAGAUGGUGACAGGCUGCCCAACCUGGUUUGCAACGCCACCUCAGUAAGCUGAGACAUGGUAAUCGCCAUGGCAACGGGGCUGCAUUAAAAGCAUUGUGCGCACAAAGUGAAAGGCUGCUGCCUGGCAGAGUUCAGUCUGGUCUCACUGCACCUGUUCCCUAAUUAAGAUGCACCUUUUGGUUUUGUCUUUUGAAAAAAACAAAAUGCUCCCUUUAUCGCCACGAGGCAAAAGAAAAAUUAAGGCCAAGAUCCUUUCAUGCCCAAUAUGGGCCUGCCCGGUGGUUGGAGCAUGGGGGAUCAUGGGCAGCAAGUGAGAAAGUGCACAGUGAUUUGCUGCUGUUACAUCCUGAGAAACUGGAGGGCUGUCAUCAAAGUCCUCGAAUAGCUGGAGAGUGGGUGUGGGAUGGUUACGUUUGAAAAUGCAGCUCUGAUAUAAAAGAAAGCAAAGACUGCACUGUUUUCCCAGCAAGAGCCUAGCUGGAGACUCUAAGCCUAAGAUAGAAGCUUCUGCCAUCAACAGGCCACAAAACCCAUACUUCCUGCUCUAUGAGGCUUCUGACCUUGGUUCCCUAGAAUCCUCCCUCCUUAUCAAGUAUCUGUGUCUAGGCCUAGGGGAGACCAGACCGAGGUCUGUCCUUGUCUGCCUACAAGGACAAGGCAUUCUACUGCUGUAGACCACUUGUUUAUGUGCCCCUAAAAUUUGUAUGUUAAAGCCUGAAUCCCCAUUGUGAUGACAUUUGGAGGUGGGGCCAUCGAAAGGUGAUUAGGUUUAUAUGAGUUCAUGAGGGUGGGGCCCUCAUAAUGGUAUUAAUGUCCUUAUAAGAAGAGACACAACAGAGCUUGCUUCCUCUCUCUCUCCCCACCAUGUGAAGACACAGCAAGAAGGCGGCCAUCUGCAAACCAGAAAGAGAGCCCUCACCAGGAACCGGAUCUGCUGGCACCUUGAUCUUGGACUUCCUAUCCUUUAGAGCUGUGAGAAAUGUCGCCCCCAGGUCAAUGGGAUAUUUGUUACAGCACCAGGUACUGCCUGAGAACUCUACCUUUAGGGAGCCUGCGUGCUGGGUCACUGGGGAGACAAUGAAGGUGCUUGACACCCAGUUUGAAUAUUGUGUCACUGCAAAGCUGACUGCUGUUGAAGGAUAGCCAGUGAGAGGUCAUGGCAAGCCAUCAGAAGAAGCAGAAGUCAUGAGCAUGCUGAAGCUAUGAGGCCAAGACAAAAUGUCACAUUGCCACAAGAAGAGGGACAAACAGGCAACAGGCAGAGCCCAUGGGAAUCAGUAAUCUCCUGCUGACACUGAGGCCUUGGGACUAACUCAGAUCCAGUACUACUCUCUUGGGACCUGUUCUGACUCCAGCUCCUGUCCUUGGGGUCCACUGAGAUCCCUGUAGCCUUGUAAUAAGCCCACAUUAUCAUAUUUCCCCUGCCGGCUCCACCCUAGAGCAUUUCCAACAAUUUCCAGUGCUUUUCCCCUUCUCAUACCACUGGGCCUUUGCACGUGCUCGUGCCUCCCCAACUUGCCCUGCCUUCUCCUUCACCCAGACAACUCCUACUAAAUCUCUCAGACUCCUCAGCUGUGUCCCUUCCUAGGGGAGGACUCUCUUCCCUCCAGUGAGCCCGGUGGUCCUCCCUGGGAUCCCCUGCUCCUUGUCUUCCCUGCCGUCCUUACUGCCAUCCUUGUUCUCUACUCAGAAGGAGGCAGAGGCUGGCCUGCCCCCAAUCCCCUGUAGACUGACCAGAUGAAUUGACCUGGGCUGGGCAGGGCAGGCGUGUUUGACCAGUUGUCUGGGCACCCCAUGGCUCAGUCAAGUUGACACAUAAAGUUCACCGCCCCAGGGCCCCUUCGUUGUAUUUGUGUAUGAAUAAAACACAGCAUCCACUCCAGGUAUCUGAGGGUCCUGGAGGCAGGUUUUGUGAUCCCUUUUUACAGAUGAGGAUGCGGAGGUCCAGUUGUCACUCACCCAGAUCACACUCUCAUCUGCUGAUGGGAGGAGUAUUUGAUGGGAUGUGUGAGCCCGGCCGUCUCCCUUGGGACACAUCAGCUCAUUAAAUUUGCCAGCCCCUGCCUGAAAAAGUAUUUAAUUUGCCUUUUACAAUGCACCCAUUGCAAGUUAAUUAACUGGCAAUUGAAAGUUAUAGGUGGCAUUAGAAUUUAUUAAUAACAUUGGGAAUAAAUCUCCC